GACGAACGCUGGCGGCGUGCUUAACACAUGCAAGUCGAACGGUAAGGCCCUUCGGGGUACACGAGUGGCGAACGGGUGAGUAACACGUGGGUGAUCUGCCCUGCACUUCGGGAUAAGCCUGGGAAACUGGGUCUAAUACCGGAUAGGACCCUGGGAUGCAUGUCCUGGGGUGGAAAGCUUUUGCGGUGUGGGAUGGGCCCGCGGCCUAUCAGCUUGUUGGUGGGGUGAUGGCCUACCAAGGCGACGACGGGUAGCCGGCCUGAGAGGGUGACCGGCCACACUGGGACUGCGAUACGGCGCAGACUCCGACGGGAGGCAGCAGUGGGGAAUAUUGCACAAGGGGCGCAAGCCUGAUGCAGCGACGCCGUGUGAGGGAUGACGGCCUUCGGGUUGUAAACCUCUUUCAGCACCGACGAAGCGCAAGUGACGGUAGGUGCAGAAGAAGGACCGGCCAACUACGUGCCAGCCGCCGCCGUAA
rnacentral:rRNA from 1 species